AUGAUUUCAUUCUUUUUAUGGCUGAAUAGUAUUCCAUGGUGUACAUGUACAAAAUUUACUUAAUCUAAUCCAUCAUUGAUGGGCAUCUAGGUUGAUUCCAUAUUUUUCUUGUUGUGAAUAGUGCUGUGCUGCGGUGAACAACAUAUGAGUGCAUGUGUCUUUUUGGCAGAAUGAUUUAUUUUCUGUAGGAUAUAUACCCAAUAAUAUGAUUGCUGGGUUGAAUGAUAGUUUUAUUUAUAGUUCUUUGAGAAAUUUCCAAAGUGGCUGAACUAAUUUACAUACCCACCAACAGUGUAUAAGCAUUCCCUUUACUUUGCAUCCUCACCAACAGCUUUUAUUUUUGACUUUUUAAUAAUAGCUAUUCAGACUGGUGAGAGAUGGUAUUCCACUGUGGUUUUGAUUUGGAUUUCCCUAAUGAUUAGUGAUGCUGAGCAUUUUUUCAUAUGUUUGUUGGCUAAAAAGCUGAUAUUUCAUUUCAUUUUUUUAAAGGUUUAUGUUAGGUUCGGGGGUACAUGUGAAGGUUUGUUACAUAGGUGAACUUGUGUCACAGGGGUUUGUUGUACAGCUGAUUUCAUCACCCAUGCAAAAAGCCCAGUACCCAAUAAUUAUUAUUUGUGCUUCUCUUCUUCCUCCCACCCUCCACCCUCAAGUAGACCCCAGUGUCUUUCAUUCCCCAAAAGCUAACAUUUUAAACCAGCCCAAAAUAUAAUAAUUUUAAUCUGAAGUGGCAUGUGAUUUCUGUUAAUGAUAAAAAAGAUAACAUUUGAAAAGGAGUCCUUUUGAUAACCCAUGUAUUAAGGACUAAAUGUUUGUACCUUCUCCCACCCCCAGAAUCAUAUGUGAAACCCUAACAACCAAUGUGAAUGUAUUUGGAGAUAGGGUCAUAAGCAGAUGGUAGAGUUUAAAUGAGGUCAUAAGGGUGGAGCCCUAAUCUGAUAGAGCUGUUGCACUUUUCAGAAGAGGAAGAGAUACUGGAACGUGUCUCUGUCUGUGUGCAUUCAGAAAGAAGGCCAUGUGAUACAGUUUGGAUGUUGCCUCCAACCAAAUGUCAUGUCAAAAUGUAAUCUUCAGUAUUGGAGGGGAGGCAUGGUGGGGGGAGAUUGGGUCCCCCCACCCAGUGGAGGCAAGUUUCUCAUGAAUGGUUUAGCACCAUCCCCCUUGGUACUGUCUUCACAAUAGUGAGCUCUCAUGAUAUUUGGUCAUUUAAAAGUGUGUAGCACUUCCCCCUUCACGUUCUCUUGCUCCUGCUCUGGCCAUGUGACAUGCCUAUUCCCUCUUCACCUUCUGGCAUGACUGUUAAGUUUCCUGUGGCCUCCCUGGAAGCUGAGCAGAUUCCAUCAUCAUGCUUCCUGUACAGUCUGCAGAACCAUGAGCCAAUUAAGCCUCUUUUCUUUAUAAAUUACCCAGUCUGAGGUACUUCUUUAUAGCACUGCAAGAAUGGACUAAUACGCUAUGUGAAGACAAAGGGGAUGUCUGCAAGCCAGGACGAGUGCGUCUACCAGAAACUGAGUUCUGCUGGACUUUGAUCUAGGACAUCCAGCCUCCAGAAUGGAAUGUGCCAUAUGUGGAGACCUGCAUGGAAAGGAACUGAGGAUGCUCUCUCACUAAAAGCUAGAAGGAACUGAGGCCCUCAGUCAACAGUCUACAAGACACUGAAUCUUGCCAGCAGCCAAGCAGUGAGCUUGAAAGCAGAUCUAUCAUCAGCUGAACCUUCAGAUGAGACCGCAGCCUAAGCAGAUACCUUGGUUGCAGCCAUGUGAGACAACCUGAAACAGAGGGCACAGCUAAGCCUCAGCCAGGUUCAUGACCCUCUGAGGAAACUGUGAGAAAGCAAAUGUCAUUUUAAGCUAUUUAAUUUUGGAGGUAGUUUAUUACACAACAAUAAAUAACUAUUAUAAUUAUCUUGAGGAUUUAUUUCCUGGGGAGAAUACAUGGAAUUGCAUAUAUAGGUCCUCAUAUGCAGAAUACUGGUACCCUAGAGAUGUUCACCCCAGAGAUGUUUUAGGAACCUGUGAAUAUGUUACAUUAAAUGGCAAAGUUUUCCUGGAUGGUUUAAGUUUAAGAUGGAAAAGUUUUACUGGAUUAUCCAGUGGGUCCAAUCUAGUAACAUGAGUCCUUAAAAAUGGAGAAUAUUUUUUGGCCAUGAUCAGAGAGACAUGUGAUGAUGGAAAAAGUGUCAGAGAUGCAAUGUGAGGGGACUAAAACUGCUGUUGCUGACUUUAAAGAUGGAGAGAGGGGAACCCGAGUCAAGGAAUGCAAAUGGCCUCUGGAAGCUGGAAAAAGCAAGAAAUGGAUUCUCCUUUAGAGCCUGUGGAAUAAAAUGCAGUCAUGCUGACACCUUGAUUUUACCUCAGUGAGACCAAUACUGGAGUAUGACCUUCGGAGCUGAAUAAAAUUAUACGUACACAUCUUAAUUUCUUGGGAUUUGAUUACUUCUUCUGCUUUGAAAUUAGACCAAGUUUAGCCUGCCUUUGCUAUUUUGGCGUAUCUCCAAUUCUUCAUGAUUUUCUCAUGUUGCUAUUUGUGCAGUAGUGGGCUCGAUGGUGGUAUCUCAAAAGCGCAAAGGCCACAUAAGGACAGUGAGAAGGCAGCCACCUGCAAGCCAGGAAGAAAGGUCUCACCAGAUACCAACCCUGCCAGCAUGUUGAUCUUGGACUUCCAGCCUCCAAAACUGUGAGAAGGCCUUCUGCUCACAUGGGCUUCCGUGCACCUGCUUCAGGAGACAGCAACACUUGCGCCCGCACCGCGGCAGGCUCCCAUCACCUGGUGGAUAUGCCGCGCCGAGUCUCAUCACACCUUAGUGAAGGAACACAUGGACCCAUAUGUUAGCGGAUGUAUUUACAUCGUUUUAUACAGAAAGGGGA
ensembl:lncRNA LINC01748 long intergenic non-protein coding RNA 1748